rnacentral:rRNA from 1 species
AUUGAACGCUGGCGGCAGGCCUAACACAUGCAAGUCGGGCGAGAGGCGGACGGGUGAGUAAUGUAUGGGGAACUGCCUGAGGGCGGGGGAUAACUACUGGAAACGGUAGCUAAUACCGCAUACCAUCAGAUGCACCCAUAUGGGAUGAGCUAGUCGGGGAGGUAACGGCUCACCUAGGCGACGAUCCCUAGCUGGUCUGAGAGGAUGAUCAGCCACACUGUGACUGAGACACGGUCCAGACUCCUACGGGCGUCAGCAGUGGGGAAUAUUGGACAAUGGGGGAAACCAUGAUCCAGCCAUCCCGCGUGUGUGAUGAAGGCCUUCGGGUUGUAAAGCACUUUCGGCAGGAAAGCGUUACCUGCAGAAGAAGCACCGGCUAACUACGUGCCAGCAGCCGCGGUAAUAC